UACGUAGGGGGCAAGCGUUGUCCGGAAUUAUUGGGCGUAAAGAGCUCGUAGGCGGUCUGUCGCGUCGGAUGUGAAAACCCAGGGCUCAACCCUGGGCCUGCAUUCGAUACGGGCAGACUAGAGUUCGGUAGGGGAGACUGGAAUUUACGGUGUAGCGGUGAAAUGCGUAGAUAUCGUAAGGAAGACCAGUGGCGAAGGCGGGUCUCUGGACAGUUCCUGACGCUGAGGCACGAAGGCCAGGGGAGCAAACGGG
rnacentral:rRNA from 1 species